GAUGAACGCUGGCGGCGUGCCUAAUACAUGCAAGUCGAGCGAACAGACGAGGAGCUUGCUUCUCUGACGUUAGCGGCGGACGGGUGAGUAACACGUGGAUAACCUACCUAUAAGACUGGGAUAACUUCGGGAAACCGGAGCUAAUACCGGAUAAUAUUUUGAACCGCAUGGUUCAAAAGUGAAAGACGGUUUUGCUGUCACUUAUAGAUGGAUCCGCGCUGCAUUAGCUAGUUGGUAAGGUAACGGCUUACCAAGGCAACGAUGCGUAGCCGACCUGAGAGGGUGAUCGGCCACACUGGAACUGAGACACGGUCCAGACUCCUACGGGAGGCAGCAGUAGGGAAUCUUCCGCAAUGGGCGAAAGCCUGACGGAGCAACGCCGCGUGAGUGAUGAAGGUCUUCGGAUCGUAAAACUCUGUUAUUAGGGAAGAACAUAUGUGUAAGUAACUGUGCACGUCUUGACGGUACCUAAUCAGAAAGCCACGGCUAACUACGUG
rnacentral:rRNA from 1 species